GAGACACUUUUCCCAAAAUUAGGGGGAGAAGUUGGUGAAACCAAACGGGAAAUUUUGUGGAUCAUUAUCUCAUCUUGAUCCACAUACCUCUAUUUGAAAGAAAGAGGUACAAAAGACAAUCCAUUUGCAAAGAAUAGCAAAUCAAAUGCCUGACGCAUUUACGAACUUGAAGAGGAUAACGAAAUCCCACAUUCACGCGGAAAAU
rnacentral:lncRNA from 1 species